rnacentral:lncRNA from 1 species
UUACAACCUCAAGAGUAAAGGGAAUAACAGUUCCCAAACUUGGAACAUACAUGUACAUUCAUUUCUAUUUCAAACAUUCGUACAAUCCCACAUAUAUCAAAAGAUAUGAGUUUCAGAUACAUUUAGUCCUAAUCGAGCACUAGCGCGAGUACAAUCACAAAAUUCAAAAACUACUAGACUACGCUAGCCUGUACCAGUCUCACGCCUCGUUCGUACACCCUGUAAGGAAAACAAAUGGCGUGGAAUGAGCUAAAAGCCCAGUGAGGUUUCAAAUAGCAAGUUGACCAUUAUUGAAAAGUACAAAUUCACGUAGCAAAAUAGCGAGCAUAACAAGUUCAUGAAAGUGAGUAAUAACACUUCAAAUAGUAAAUGUCAAAAUGAGCGAGUGAAAACUCUUUUUGUUUUCCAAAAGAAUAGUAACACUUCGAAUAACAAUCAAUGUAUAAGGAUACAGAUGGCUCUCAGGAGCCAAAUUCUCAUUUUUUCACCAGAGCUUGAUCAAGUAUUAGUUGAAACUCCGUCAACUUUCAAGUAAAGUAACUAGUUCAGUAGUACACCACUUAUCUCUAAUCUCCGUCCACCAACCAAACCCCUUACCGGGCUCAAACUCCAAGAUAAACACUGGUGGUAAUAUUCGAGUUUACCGAUUAGUCGAGGAGAUAACACUCCACUCGACAACACUAGAUACCCAUGGUUCGUUAUCUAAUCGACUAAGCUCUUGCCGGCUCGACUCGAUUAACUAGCCAGUGGGGUUUGGGUCUCCAAGAAGUCGAUGAGAUAAAAUCUCUAAUCGACUGAAUCAAAAUAAAAGUAUGGAGAUGGGAAUGAGAUGCACCUCCCACUCAUAUUGAGUGUGGUACAUGCUGCCACUCAGCAUUUACAAGUCAAGUACAAGUAUAUCAAGUCAAUUGCAACAAUAAAUAAGUAUAUGUCAUAUUAGGGCAAGUGCGAUAAAGUACACUCUUGUCCGAUCAAACAAAUUAUAUAUCAUUAAAUCACAUUGAUCAAGUAUUGAAAACAAGUGUCCAGUUCAAUCAGGUAUUUGGAAGCACUCACCAAAGGUCUAUGUGCCUCUAAAAAAUCACGUUCAGGUCCAACUCCUUGGUUGGAGUCCAAAUCUGCGAUAAAAUAUCAUUUACGAAUGUAAAACUCUCUAGAGUUCGAAACAUAGGAGUUUCGCUUCAAGAAAAUCAAGUAAAUGCAACUCGUUUAAGUAGUAUUCAAGAUUCUUAUCAAAUUCUGAAAAAUUCAUGCUCGCUCAUUUAGUUAUGAUCAAGAAGUAGUUUUGACUUUAGAAGUUACACUUGGUAUAAAAAACCGGGGAAAAUCAUAUUUUGAAAGGGUCGCUACUUUCACUUUUCAAGGGUACAAGUUCCGGCAAAAUUUUAGAUUAUAUACCCUGACUAAAGAAAACUCGAAUACCAUAGGCGAUCCAAGUCCAACUUGACCUCAAAUCGUCGCUCAAGUCGCAGGUACAUAUGCCUAACUUUUGAGUGAAAAUUUGGGCGGCACGCCCUUUGUGUUUACCUAUUUUCCAGCCAUUUAUGACUUCAUUGUUUUUCUCAAUUCAGCCCUACAAUCACACACAAGUAAUGUUACCACCAUAGCCCUUCCAUUAGGCUCUAAAAUCAUCCAAUUACAACACAAGUUUAAUAAUACAAUCGGAAAUCAAGUGUUGAAGGCAAAAGACUAAAUGGCAGAUUCGACAUCUUAUAACAUUUUCGUCACAACUAGAGUUACAUUUAUCCGAUUGGUGUGAAAUUUAUACCAUUUUGAAGCUAAGACAAAGGGCUACAACUUUCAUGAAGACAACUCAACCCAGAUCACAAUUGAUCUAGGUCGAAAUUACAGAUUACAGAACCAGAAUGUCCUUGUCAGUAUGGUUGUCAGCACUGAAUUCAAAUGACAAUGACUUAGGCUACACAAUUCCGAUUGAGGCGUUUUUAGAUGCAUUGGAAAGCUGAAACAUAGGGAUAAAAUUUUUGUGUUUUGGCCACAGGCUGAUUUGAUACGGAUCAAGGUGAAAAAUGAAGCCAAAAGUGUGAAAUCACAAAACUGUCUGCAAAAUGAAGCUUUUGGUAGUCAGGGGUAUUAUGAUCAUUUCACAUGAUACAGUGCUCAGAUCGAGCUGAAACUUUACAGGAAGCUAUAUAACAUCAUUUUCUACAACUUUUAUGUUUUGACUUAAGCCUAAUUCAGCCUCUAACAUGGACGAAUGAAGCUGGUCAGAAGCAGGGCAGUUCAUCAUCAAAGCUGGAAAUUUCACUACUAAAGCUGGAAUUUUAUAACUAAAGCUGGAAAUUCAACCAAAGCUGGAAAACCAUAUACCAAAGAUUGAAAGUUCACAUCAAAGUUAAACCAUCUUAUAUCAAAACUAUCAAGUUCAUCUCAUAGCUGGAAAAUGCAUAUCAAGGCUGGAAUUUAAACAUUAAAGCUGGAAAAUGAAACCCUAGGCUGAAAUUCCAUCAAUCUUCACCAAUCUAAGUUAUCAUCCAUAAAACUUCUAAGAUUCAAGUCAUCUAUCCAAUAAAAUGCAAGAUAAGAGAGAGAAGAAGAGUUUCUUAGCUUAAUACCUUCAAACCUCAAGGAAAUACACAACAUCAAGGCUGCCCAAGCAAAAUUACUCCACCCAAAGCUUCCUUGUCACCUUGUUGCAAGUUUAAUCGGUUUAGAUUUGUGGUUCUUGUUGAUUUCUCUCCAAAUCAAUCAAAACCCAAGAUGAAAUGUGAAGUUUCUCCUCUCUU